CAGAGGGUGCGAGCGUUAAUCGGAAUUACUGGGCGUAAAGCGUGCGUAGACGGUUAUUUAAGUCGGGUGUGAAAGCCCCGGGCUCAACCUGGGAAUUGCAUUUGAGACUGAAUAGCUAGGGUACGGUAGAGGGAAGUGGAAUUUCCGGUGUAGCGGUGAAAUCCGUAGAUAUCGGAAGGAACAUCAGUGGCGAAAGCGACUUCCUGGACCAGUACCGACGUUCAGGCACGAAAGCGUGGGGAGCAAACAGGAUUAGAUACCCUGGUAGUCCACGCCAUAAACGAUGAGGACUAGACGUUGGAGGGGUAAGCCUUUCAGUGUCGUAGCUAACGCGCUAAGUCCUCCGCCUGGGGAGUACGGCCGCAAGGUUG
rnacentral:rRNA from 1 species